AGCAUAUUUACUUGCCUCAUUAUUUUCCAUACGUAUUACUCCAUGGUAUGUGAAGCGAGAAACUGCCUCAAUCCAAUAACUAAGGCAUUGAGCCACCAUGUUGUAAACAGCCCUAUGGCGAGGUUUCCGUGGCGGGAACUGAGAUCGAGAGUCUUAGCCCACGAGGGCCCAAGAGCUGCCAACUGUCCGAAACUCUCCCCUACGAUGGAAGAAGCCUAGCAAACCAUGCAGAAAGAAAACUGCUCCCCAUAGUUCCAACAAAAUUUGGGUAUUGACUAGCACUGAACUUAUUUGAUUUCUGUCUCAAAACAAAUCACUGUGGCUAGGAUAGUAGAAUAUGCUGGUUGGCCUGAGUCACAUGACCAUAGUGGAACUGAAGGAAGUCCCUUAAAAUCACUAGCUUCACUCUGACUAAGACAAGUGAAUGGGGGUUCCCAAGGUAAAAUUAGAAAAAUGAGAAUAGAUUCUGCACA